rnacentral:rRNA from 1 species
GUCUACAGCCACGUCACCCUAAACAAGCCUGAUCCCAUCUGAUCUCAGAAGCUAAGCAGGAUUGGGCCUGGUUAGUACUUGAAUGGGAGACCACCUAGGAAGACCAGGUGCUGUAGGCC